rnacentral:rRNA from 1 species
UACGUAGGGACCAAGCGUUGUUCGGAUUUACUGGGCGUAAAGGAUGCGUAGGCGGACAUUUAAGUCAGAUGUGAAAUACCCGAGCUUAACUUGGGUGCUGCAUUUGAAACUGGGUGUCUAGAGUGCAGGAGAGGUAAGUGGAAUUCCUAGUGUAGCGGUGAAAUGCGUAGAGAUUAGGAAGAACACCAGUGGCGAAGGCGACUUACUGGACUGUAACUGACGCUGAGGCAUGAAAGCGUGGGGAGCAAACAGG